AACGAGUACCUUUCUGGAUUGA
rnacentral:miRNA from 1 species